rnacentral:rRNA from 1 species
GCUAAGGUAGCAUAAUCAUUUGUUAUUUAAUUGGUAGCUAGAAUGAAAGGUUAAACUAGCUUAUUAGGUUUGUUAAACUAUGUAGAAGUUUAAAGUUAAGGUAAGAAUUCUUUAAUUUUCUAGGGGACGAUAAGACCCUAGAAGCUUAACAAGAGGUGAAUUAGUUUUAGAAAUUUAUUUGUUUUACUGGGGCGGUAAAGGUAAAUAAGCUAUUUGUUAGUUAGGAGAUCCUAAAAAUAUAGAUAAGAUGGGGAAGUUACUCUAGGGAUAA